rnacentral:lncRNA from 1 species
UAAUUUAUAUUUAAUUACGAUAUUGAUAAUGUAACUUUGAUCACGACAUCAUAGAAUGACCCUUAGAUAAAGUGUUGGACAUUUUAUUGUAUGACUGUUGGUAUUUCUAUAAUAACAAUAAUCUAUAUAUUUGCAUGUUGGCAUCCUCAUUGGAUAUAAUAUUGGGUUUUAAAAAGAGAUAAGAUAAGGAGCUUAGGGUUUCUAUAAAGAGAUAUAAAAAGAAUUGCUUUUCUACAAGAGAAUAAAAGAGCCACAAUAUAUAGAAUAGAAAAAAAAAAAUUCUCCUCUCUUAGUAGUUUCAGAACAAAAAUUGUCACCACCACUCUUGUUAGAUUACAAUCCGUCACCACCACGCAUAUUAGAUCGCGAUCCGUCACCACCAAUGAUCUUCCAGGUUAUGACUCAGAUUUAAUAUGCACUUGAUGUGUGGGCGCCUUUAUCACCACUAAAAGCAACUAGCAAAAUUUUCUCUCAAAAUAAAAAUUCUUCAUCUCUUGAUCUGUAUAAUGUGACUCUUUUUUUUGAGAGAAAAUAAGCCAUUUUAUAUCUCUAUCUAGUGGAAACCCUAGGCUCCAUAUUUUAAUAUUUUUAAUUCUAUUAAAUCAAAUUUAAUUUAAAUUAAAAAUAAUGAAAUCAAAAGUAACGUUAUUUCUUCUUGUCAUAGGGCCCACCUUAUAAAAUAACUCAAGCCCCUUAGACACAAGCACAUUAUAUGAAGUCUUCCACUAAAUAAUAUAUUUAGACUUUUAACCCAAAUAACUAGUUAUCUUGCUUAUUAAUCCAGUAGCGACACAGUUAAUUAAAUGAGCUAACCCGGAAAUCAUUUGGGUACAUACAAUAGUGGGUGCAAUAAUUAGUUAUGUAAUUAAACUAGCCCAAUUAUUUAAUUCCAAAUCUACUCUACUAAAAUAUUGGAACUGACCUCCAUAAUUGUAUGCUAUCCGCUAUAGUGUUCUCGAAUAAUAAUUCAACCCGUGCCACAUUGAUUUCUUUACUACAUAAUUCGUUGUACCACAUCGUUAAUUAAAUUGAUAUCUCAACUGUCCAAUCAAUUUAACUAUAUCUUGUUCCUUGAUACUUACUGGUUUUCUCUAAUGAUCAUUUUCAACAUAUUAAAUAUGUCGACACACUCUGCCUAGAGAAUUAUAUGAUCAAGUGCCGAAAACCUAUCAAAAGAUGUGUUGUACAAAUUCUAUAUUGUUAAUCUAUAACUCCAAUACUCAUAAUUACUUCCACCAAGAUACCGAGUAAUCUUAACUACAAGUAUGUGUCGUGCUCAUUGGUAACUCAAAUGGAACAACAAUUACAAUCAUGAAAUUAUAACUAUCUCAAGAUUAAUAUUACAAUAAAAUCAAUGCCUAUGAGAUUUAAUAAGUCUGACAGUUAUUACAAAGUUAAUUAAAUCUCAUAUGUGAUCUUGUUCAAUAUAGUCGCACUACAUCAAUAAAUUCAUACAUGAUUAAGACAAAUUAUUCAAUAAAUUUAUUACAGUCUAUACCUAAAUAAAGUGCUCAACUUUAUAAAAUACUAACUAGCCAACCCAAGAGGGGGGUGAAUUGGGAUUUUAAAAAAUAAGCUAAGCAAACCACACAACAAUCCAAUCUAAUGCCUUAAUAAAUUCGAAAACAAUAAAUUUAAUGAAAGCACAAUAAUAAAUGAGCAAGGGAAAAGAAAGCAAACUCAAGGAUUUUUACGUGGUUCGGCAAUCUCCGCCUACGUCCACGCCUCCAAGCACACCGGGCUUGAGGAUUUCACUAUCCGAGCCUUUCCAAGGCUUCAAUCGUUUACAAUUGACUUCAAGGUGUCAAUGAACCUUUACAACAAGAGAUUAUCUCCCCAAUCUCUUCACCCCAAGUGUUUCUCACACUUGUACACUCACAAUUUGAUGAGAAAUGAAAAUUAAAACAAUGAAACUCUCUUUAAGAGUGGAUAUACAAAUUGAAGAACAAAGAUGAUUUAAUAAAUGAUGAUUUACGAAAUUGAAGCUCAAUAUAUGUUGUGUGCACUUGUUUUUGCUUGCCAAGAUUACCAAAAAUGAAUUGGUUUUGAGUUUAUAUAGUUUGAGCUCAAAAACUAGCCGUUAUGCACUUUUUGGUCAUAACCGGCUUACCGUUUAUGGAAUUCGGUUAGCCACUUGUAUGUUACCGUUACAGCCAAAACUUGAAUUUUUGAACAUUCGGUAUACCGCUUAUGAAAUCCGGAUAGCCGUUUAUGUUCCAGAAACUUACUGCCCAACAACCGGAUUACCGUUUGUCAGGAUCCGAUUAGCCGCUUUCAAUUCGGAUAGAUUCUGCCCAACAUCUGGCUUACCGAUUUUUCACAUCCGGUUAGCCGCUUGCUACAGUAACUACUACAGUGAACUAUUUUUUAAAAUUAUAGUUUAGCCCCAAAACUUUAUAAAACUAUAUUAUGACCCAAAACGUUAUGAAAGCUUUCAAAUAGGUCCAAUUUUAGAAUUUUUAAAUAAUACUUUGUCAAUCCCAAAACUUUCUGAAAUUAUGAUUUUACCCAAACUAUGUGCAAUUAUAGAAUGACCCAAAAUAUUUAAAUAGUUUCAAAUAGGUCCAAAUCUAAAAUUUUAAAAACAAUAUCAAAGGUUUUAAAAUACUUUCAUUUUAGUCCAAAACACUUUAAUUCCAUAACAUCAUUUUUCCAUUAAAUAUAAAACCUUUAUAAUGUGAAAAUAAUGAUUUAUUUAAAAAGAAAAUAAUUUGAGCUUAAAAGAUUAAUCAUUCUUAAUCUUGUUUGUUAUCAUCAAAAUCAACAUUCUGGAAACAUAUAUGUUAACACUUUAUUUAUCAAAUGCGAACUAAAUUUACUUAAUCAUAAGAUAACUUGUAUUUAUGUCUUAUGUGAAUCCACAUGGUGAUCACAUAAAUACAUAUAAUAUGAUUAAAUGGACUUUACUCAAAAUAUUAAUGCAACUAAGAUACUUGAAUAAAAUACCUCAUUUAUUUUAUUAAUCAGAAAAAUUAUUUAUUACAUUUAAAUAAACACAUAUACUUUUAAAGAGCAUAUUUUCCCAACAAUCUCCCACUAGCUUUCAAAGCAUAUUUGGCAUCUCACGCAUGCCUAUGGAUUCUAAGUGCAAGUUAAAUGGUUUCCCAAGUAUGGCCUUAGUAAAAGGAUCUGCCAAGUUUUGUUGCGACGCAAUCUGAGUAACCUCCACAUCACCUCUCUACACUAUAUCCCUCAUAAGAUGAUACUUCCGCUCAAUAUGUUUUUGUUUCUUAUAGUUUCUUGGUUCCUUAGAUUGAGCUACUGCACCACUAUUAUCACAAAAUAGUUUAAGGGGUGCAGUUACAGCAGGCACCACCUCAAGAUCUUGUAGAAAUUUGCAGAGCAAUACAACUUCUUUUGCAGCUUCAGAUGCAGCCACAUAUUCAGCUUCAGUUGUGGAGUUUACGACACAGGAUUGUUUCACACUCCUCCAACUUAACUCCACUUCAUAAUGUAAACACAUGGCUGGAAGUUGAUUUUUUGGAAUCUUUAUCUGACAUAAAGUUAGAAUCAGUAUAACGCACUAGAAUGAGUUUAUCACAAGAAUACACAAGCAUAUAAUUUUUAAUUCUUUUCAGAUACUUCAUUAUAUGCUUGACCGCAGUCUAGUGUUCAGGUCCAGGAUUAGAUUGAUAUUUGCUAACCAUCCCUACCGCAAAACAGAUGUCUGGCCUAGUGCAAAGCACGACAUACAUGAGACUUCCCACAGCUUCUGCACAUGGAACUCGUUUUAUUCUAUCUAUCUCUUUAGAUGUUUUAGGUGAUUGAUCCUUUGAGAAUACAAUUCCAUGUCUAAAUGGUAAUAAACCAGUCUUGGAAUUUUCCGUGCUAAAUCUAGUCAAUAUCUUGUCGAUAUAGACCGCUUGAGACAAGGCUAAAGUUUUAUUCAUUCGGUCUCGUAGUAAUUUAAUACCAAGAAUAUAACUUGCCUCUCUUAGGUUUUUGAUAUCAAUUGUUUUACUAACCAACUCUUUAUUGUAGUCAAUACUCCUAUAUCGUUUCCAAUUAGGAGAAUAUCGUCUACAUAAAGAAUUAGGAAGACAAUAGAUUUUUCCUGAAUUUUCUUAUACACACAUAGUUCAUCAAUGUUCUGAAUGAAUCCAAACGAUUUAAUCGUUUGAUCAAAUCUGAUGUUUCAUGACCAUGAUUCUUGCUUCAAUUUAUAAAUAGAUCUCUAUAACUUAUAUACCAUGUGUUCUUGGCCUUUUUGUAUGAAUCCAUCUGGUUGCUGCAUGUAGAUGUCUUAUUCAAUAUGCCCUUUAAGAAAUGCAGUCUUGACAUCCAUUUGCUAAAUUUCAUAAUCUAGCAUUGCAGCAAUGGAGAGUAGAAUCUUGAUAGAUUUAAGCAUAGCAACUAGAGAAAAUGUUUUCUCAAAAUCGAUUCCCUCUUUCUGAGUAAACCCUUUGGCUACUAAUAUUACUUUAAAUGUUUCCACAUUUCCAUCUACUCUUUUUUUCUUCUUCUGUAGAUCCACUUGCACCCUACAGGUUUUAACUCAUUUGGUGCCUCUAUAAGUUCCCAGACUUUAUUAGAAUACAUAGAUUCCAUUUCUUGAUUCAUGGCCUUUUUCCAAAAUUCAACAUAUCUGUUUAUUAGAGCUUCGUUGUAGCUAGUGGGAUCUUGUACAUGUUCAUAUGAGAUAGCCGUACAGGUUUCUCCCAAUAACAUGUAUCUUGCAGGUAACCUAAUUACCCUCCCACUACGGCGAGGUUCUAAAAGUGAUAGUUAUUCAAGGAUAAUCAUGUGUUGAUCAGCUGGUUAUUGCUGUUUUUCUUGUUCUAUAACAGGUGUUGAAAGUUGAACAUCAACCUGAUCACCUGCCAGUUCUUCAAAUAUUACCUUACUCUUAGAUUUAAAGUUAUUCAUAUAGUCUUUCUCGAGGGAUGUGAAAUGUGUGCUCACGAUCACUUUCCUAUCUUGAGAACUAUAAAAUAAACCUCCCAUUGUUCCUUUGGGAUACCCCACAAACAUACAAACCUCAAAACGUGAAUUCAUUUUGUCUGCCUUUGGUUUCAACACAUGUGCUGAUGAUCCCCAAUUACGGACAUGUCGUAAACUUGGUUUGCGACCUGACCAUAAUUCUAUUGGGGUUUUAGGCACUGACCUAGAUGAAACUAAAUUCAAGAGGUAAACUACAGUUUCCAGUGCUACUCCCCAAAAAGCGAUUGGUAAUGACAAAUAACUAAGCAUAGAUCUGACCAUAUCCCAAAGAGUUAUAUUUCUUCUUUCAGCUACCCUAUUUUGUUGUGGUGUCCUCGGGGCAGUUAACUGAGAUAUAAUCUCAUUUUCAACCAGAUACUUUUUGAAAUCUCUUGAGAGAAAUUGACCACCUCGAUCAGUUAGAAAUUUCUUUAUAUUUAUAUCUAAUUACUUUUCUGUCUCAGCCCUAUACUCUUUGAAUUUCUCAAGAGCUUCAGACUUAUGACGCAUGAGAUAAACAUAAUCGUAUCUCUAGUAAUCAUCAGUGAAAGUGAUUAAAUGCUCAUAACUUCCUUGAGCUUGUAUAUUGAUUGGUCCACAUACAUCUGUAUGUACUAAUUCAAGUGGUACUAUUGCACGCACUCAUUUGGCCGAUAAUGGCAUUUUGGUCAUUUUUCCUUCUAAACAGAAUUCAUAGAGUGGCAACGAUACAUUUUGUAAUGGACCCAAGAGCCCAUAUUUUAUCAUUCUCUGUAUUUUAUUUUGGUUUAUAUGACCCAAGCGUAAAUUCUAGAGGUAACAUUGGUUAGGAGAAAUAUUUUUUUCUUAGAUAAAUGUGUAUACUCAUCAUUAUUGAUCACUGUGUCAUGCAUAGAAUAAAUCAUAGGACUUAAAUGAUAUAAAUGAUCUUCCAAUGUACCAAAACAAAUAAGUCUCUUAUUAUAAAUAAUAGAAACAGAGGAUCCAAAAUUUACAGUGUACCCUUACUUUGACAAACAAGUUACUGAAAUGAAAUUCCUCUUAAUGUCUAGAAUAUAAAGGCAAUUAUUCAAAACUAAAGUCUCAUUAUUAAAAGAUAAUAAAACAGAUCCAAUCUCCACUGCUGACACAAACUGUCCUGUCCCUAACUGCAGCUUGACGCUUCAUUCACUUAUUUUCCUGGUUCCUGAAACCAACAAAGUGAAUUACAAAUAUGAUUAGUUGCUCCUGAAUCCAACACCCAAUUAUCAAUAGGAUUCUGAACUAAACACGCCUCAAUUACAAAAAGAUUUCCCAUACCUGAUUUCACAAUCUUAGAGCAAUUCUUUUUCCAGUGACCUUUCUUACCCUUGCAUUUCGGCUUAGGCCUAAAAGAAGAACCUUUUUUAGCAAUAUUUAUGCUUCCUAUAGAUUUCUCAGUACGAUAAAUCUAUUAAGCAUAAUAGAAUUCGUUCAUCAAUUCAGUUAAGGUCAUGUUUCUUUUGUUCAUGUUAUAAUUGACCUUAAACUCCUUAAAUGUUUCUGGCAAAGAUUCUAACACUAUGUCAAUCUUUGAGUUAUCAUCGAUUUUUGCUCCCUGAAUCUCAGCCUCAUUCAAAUAGUUCAUCAUUUUGAGGACAUGAUCACGAACUCUUGUGCCCUUUCCCAUUUUGCAGUUCAUAAUGCCUUUAAGCACUGCUUGUCUCGCGGAGCGAGUACUCUGCCCAAACAUCUUUUGAAGACUAUCCAUUAUUUCAGUGGCAGUCUCAAAGUUCUGAUGUUUGGUCUGUAGAAUAUUAGAAAUCGAGGCUAAAAUGUAGUAUUUUUCCAUUUCAUUAGCCUUCUACCAUUUCUCAUAAAGCCUCCUCUAAUUUCUAUGAGCAUCUUCUACUGGAACUGGAGGGCAUGGCAGUGGCAAUCUCCAAGUUCUGAUGUUUGGUCUGUAGAAUAUUAGAAAUCGAGGCUAAAAUGUAGCAUUUUUCCAUUUCAUUAGCCCUCUACCAUUUCUCAUAAAGCCUUCUCUAAUUUCUAUGAGCAUCUUCCACUAGAACUGGAGGGCAUGGCUGGGUUAAAACAUAUUUAUAAUUUUCAAUAGUCAUGACAAUGAAUAGAUUUCUUUUCCAAUCUAUAUAGUUCUCUCUAGCGAGUUUGUUUUGACUUAGAAUAAUAUAAGUGGGCUCAAGGAAGACAUUUUCUGAAAGAUGAAACAUCCAUGCAUAAAUAAUUUGAUAUAAUAUUCACAAUAAAUGACAAAAAUGCAAAAAAUCGUAAAUGCAUUUUAAUUUAUUGUAACGAUAAUCUAGUACUGCUUUGACAAGCUAUCCGUUGGGGAAGUCGUGUUUACACUUACUAGACCCAAUUAUCCAUUGAAUUAUUUACUUUCAUGUAGAGACAUGAUAAAUAAUUAUCGUUAUCAUUUUGGGCAUGAAUUUGUUAACAGAGCUUCAUUGGGAAGGUUAAUAACAAAAUUUAGUUGAAUAUAUAACUAUUGUUUCAAUCUACGUAUUUUUUAUAUCAAUAGUCAUUGUUGGGGUGAUCAAUUGAAUGAAAAAUAUUUCAAUUUUAUCUUUGAAGAAGUUCAUCAAAUAAAAUAUCUAAUAUAUAUACCCUCUGAAUGGAGCAUCACCAUAUCAUGAAAUCGAGGUAUAUAUAUAAUUUUAUUAUUGAACUAACAUUGGAGCUCGUGGGAAAAUUAUCAUAAAUUUUCCCUCCCCCACCCAAUAUUUUAAAAUUGGUUUUUCGUUUUAAAUCAUAUAUUGAUUAUAUUCUUAAUUGCAAGCUUCCUAUAAUAUUAUCUAGAUGAUAUCUAAUGUUAUUAAGCAUCUGCAAAUUACAAACAAUAUGAUGAUAUACAUAAUUAAUGAAUGACAUGUAUCAUUAUGCAUAGAGUGACACUACCUAUUCUAUAUGACAUGUUAUCAUGGCAUGUUAUCAUCCAAAACAUAACAUAUAAAAAAAUAAUUAAAUAAUCUUAAUUCAUGGCUUUCCUAAAAUGAAAAAAUACAUUAACGUUAAGUUUAAUCUUCAUUGGGCUUCUUGUCAAUGUCCAUCGUGCAUAAACUUGUCUUUGUUAAUGGACUGAGGGAAAUUGGGCUUUUAAAUUUAUUAUUGGUCAAAUUUUAAUUUUGAAAGAAAGUAAAUAAAAUCCAUUUUUUUAAAAUAAUAAUAAAACUUUUGGACUAAAAAAUAAAUUUAAUGUAUUAAAUUUUAUCUAUGCAUUUUAAUCCAUUAAGCCCAAUUGAAAUUGAGCCUAAAAUAAAACUUAUAGGUCUAAGAAAAAAUUAUAAAAACUAUUGAAACCCUAAAAUCCUUAUUUGUAUUUUCCUUCUUCCCCAUCCCCAGCCGCCAUAUCCAUAAAGGAUAGCCAUUGUUCACCUAUCUCCGAUGCCGAUUCAACCGCCGUCACCUUGCCGGGAAGCCACCAAAUGACUCACGACACCUUCUGCGAGCAGCUGACGCGCGCACACAACCAUCCCUCGCUCGUGUUUACUGGCCACGUUGCCGCUGCAAUUGCUGGUUUUGUUACUUGCAGCGCUGGUUGUAGCGCGCGCUGUUAGCCACGCAAGCUGCGCGCACUGCUGCUACGUGUGCAGCGUGCACUGGUUGGUUACCGCUGUCAAAAUUUUCGGCCUUCAUUUCCUCUUAUCUGACAUCCGCGAUUAUUCUCCAUCAAUUUACAAAUUUCCUAGGCCAAUUUUGGCUUACAAAAUUUCUAUAACAGUAAAAUAAAUCAAGAGAAAAACAUGGUGAUAAAAGACCAUCUCUCUUAUUACAGGUCCAAACGAAAAAUACAUCAAAGAAUCUAACCAUGAAUUAAGACAAACCAUAAGCAUGUUUUAUUCAUAUAUUAAACAAAUAAUAUAUAUCUGAAUAAAUUGUGCCACUCUAACAUAUAAAUAUCAAGAUUGAUUUCAUACGAAAUUCUUAUAUAUUAAUAUGAGUUGGCUUUGAUACCAAUUGUUGGAUAAAAUUCUGUUUUUCUUAAAAUAAAAUUUUUAGAACCAAUCUCAUACAAUAAAUAUGAAUUUGUAAUCUAGAAAAUCAUAUCUUGAUAAUCUGAUUUGGCUUUUUCGCUGAGUUAAACUAGGCUCCCAAAUCACGAUUUGUCACCAUCACUUCUGUUAGAUCACGAUCCGCUACCACCACGCUUGUUAGAUCAUGAUCCGUCACCACCAAUGAUCUUAUAGGUUAUGACUCAGGUUUGAUCUGCACUUGACGUAUGGGCGCCUUUAUCACCACUAAAAGCAACUAGCAAGAGAAAAUUUUUCUCUCAAAAUUAGAGAGAAAAAUUCUUUUUCUCUUGAUAUGUAUAAUGUGACUCUUUUUUGGGGGGAAAAUAAGCCCUUUUAUAUCUCUAUCUAGUGGAAACCCUAGGCUUCAUAUUUUAAUAUUUUUAAUUCCAUUAAAUCAAAUUUGAUUUAAAUUAAAAAUAAUAAAAUCAAAAGUAAAUAAUAUAUUUAGGCUUUUAACACAAAUAGCUACAUAAUUCGUUGUACCACAUCGUUAAUUCGUGCCACAUUGAUUUCUUUACUACAUAAUUCGUUGUACCACAUCGUUAAUUAAAUUGAUAUCUCAACUGUCCAAUCAAUUUAACUACAUCUUGUUCCUUGAUACUUACUGGUUUUCUCUAAUGAUCAUUUUCAACAUAUUAAAUAUGUCGACACACUCUGCCUAGAGAAUUAUAUGAUCAAGUGCCGAAAACCUAUCAAGAGAUGUGUUGUACAAAUUCUAUAUUGUUAAUCUAUAACUCCAAUACUCAUAAUUGCUUCCACCAAGAUACCGAGUAAUCUUAACUACAAGUAUGUGUCAUGCUCAUUGGUAACUCAAAUGGAACAACAAUUACAAUCAUGAAAUUAUAACUAUCUCAAGAUUAAUAUUACAAUAAAAUCAAUGCCUAUGAGAUUUAAUAAGUCUGACAGUUAUUACAAAGUUAAUUAAAUCUCAUAUGUGAUCUUGUUCAAUAUAGUCGCACUACAUCAAUAAAUUCAUACAUGAUUAAGACAAAUCAUUUAAUGAAUUUUUUUACAGUCUAUACCUAAAUAAAGUAAAGUGUUCAACUUUAUUUAUCAACUGCGAACUAAAUUUAUUUAAUCAUAAGAUAACUUGUAUUUAUGUCUUCUAUGAAUCCACAUGGUGAUCACAUAAAUACAUAGAUAAUAUGAUUAAAUGGACUUUACUCAAAAUAUUAAUGCAACUAAGAUACUUGAAUAAAAUACCUCAUUUAUUUUAUUAAUCAAAAAAAUUAUUUAUUACAUUUAAAUAAACACAUAUACUUUUAAAGAGCAUAUUUUCCCAACAUGUAUGAGAAACACGAUCUAAAUAUUUUCACUGCAAAACUUUGAUUUUUAACCAACUCCUUUAACUUAAUCUUUAUUAUAAAAAUGAGUUGUUGCUCUCGACGUGCCAAAAGAACGGCACGUUAAUUUGUUUACCCCUGAAUCUUUUUUCAUCAACAGCUACAUACAAAUUGAAAACAUGAAACUAUUUAAUAUUCGACUAUUUUGUAUAUCAAUACCUUUGGAUACUUCCAAUAUUGGGUGUUCCAUCAUUUUAGAUCACCUAAGAAAGUUGGUUUAGUACUAAAUUAAUUUAAAUACAUUUAAAGUAUUUGUGAUAUUUGAUUGAUUGAUUUAUUGGAAAAUUAUCUAUCAUACAUCUUAAUUUUACUUUCUUAUAAAAAGUACAAGAAAAGUUUGAAUUUGUUUAAUUAUUUACCCUAAGUUGAAAUUUGUUUUAAUCGUCCACCAAAAUAUUAGUGGCCAUUCAUAAUUGAUGGCAUUACAAGAGUAAUUUAGACAUUUAAUAAAUAAUAGAAAAACAUCGAUCAUCCACUUUAAGUUUACCUUGUUAUAAAAGGUAUUACAAAACUUUGAAUUUGUUUAAUUUUUCACCCUAAGUUUGUAAUUUAUAUCAACCGUCCACCAAAACAUUAUUUGUCGUUUAUAAUUGAUGAUGCGACAAGGGUAUUUUAGACAUUUAAGAUGUUAAAUAAAAAUAAAAUAAUAGUUUAAAAAAUAAAAAAAAACUAUUUUCUAUAACCAAUUUUCAAUUAAAUUCGCUUAAACAAGCUGAUUUCUUCCUUAAUUGAAAAAAAAAUCUAAUUUUUCAUCUCAAAUUAACUUCACAAAAUUUUCAUAAUCAAACUCAUAUCCUUAAAUUACCUUAAACCCUUAUCCAUAAACAGCUAAUCAAACCCAGUUUACAGUGUCGUAGCCACCAUUGCCGCUGAUUGUUGUUGUAGCUUGAUUCAACCUUGUGGAUAGCUGCAACCACCACAAAAAUCCUCAAUGACUAGUCAUCGUAGCCCAAUGCAUAUUUUUAUCUAUUAUCACAGACAGUUGAAGGAUUUAGUGAUGAAGGAUUUAAUAUAGAUUUUGUAUUGAUAUUAUGAACCCUAAAAAUUUAUACAUAGAGAAAAUAAGGAAGAAGACGGUAAGAUAUACUUUAUUUUGUUUCUGGUUUUAUGUGGUUGAUGAAGGAAUUGAUAGAAAUUCUUGUUAGGGAUUAAAAUCAUUGGUGGAUUAGCUAGUAGGCUUUAGCCUACUGGUUAGAACCCAAGCCUCACAAUUGUGAGGUUAUGGGUUUGAGCCCCCCACAAUGUAGUGUGGGGGUUAAUUUCCUUCCUCAAUUUGAGUGAAGGUAGUCAUCUCCCUUUUAAAAUAUGAGUGGAGUGGACGUCUUUUGAAUAUUAUAAAGGGUUAAAAUCUGGGCUAUGCUAUAUAAGAUUUGUAAAUUAGUCCGAGUAAUUAUCUGAUUGUAAAUAUCAGUACACUAAUCUCAUUAAAUAUGAGUUGCAAUAUGAGCAUUCGUGUCAUGUAAUUCAAAAAAGGAAAAUUAUCAGCCAUAUACCCUUAAAUAACACCCGUAUCAAACGUAUUACAACAUUUUUCACGUGUAUCACUCGUAUACCUUAAGUUGACAAAACACUUUUGCCGUCCACCAAUCCGUUAACUGCUGUUUGCAAGCACUGACAUCAUAAGGGUAAUCUAGUCUUUUAAGAUGGAAGAAACUUUGAUUUAAAAAAAUGACAUGUCAUCUCAUUUACCUAGUCAAAACUGACAUGUCAUCUCAUUUACCUAGUCAAAACUGACAUGUGCUAUGAUAUAUAUUGAUAAAAAUGACAUGUCAUCCCAUUUAUCGGAUAAUUAUUAAUAAUUGCUAAAAAAAAUACUUUACAACUGAAUCUACUCCUCCAAAAUUUAACCUUUUGAAGUUCUACUCCUCCAAGCUCCAACUGGAAUUUUUUAUGGUAUAGUAUGUAUACUUGUAAAUAAU